rnacentral:rRNA from 1 species
UACGGGGGGAGCAAGCGUUGUUCGGAUUUACUGGGCGUAAAGGGCGCGUAGGCGGCCACCGCAAGUCAAUUGUGAAAUCUCCGGGCUUAACUCGGAAAGGUCAACUGAUACUGCGGGGCUAGAGUGCGGAAGGGGCAACUGGAAUUCUCGGUGUAGCGGUGAAAUGCGUAGAUAUCCGGAAGAACACCGGUGGCGAAGGCGGUCUGCUGGGGUAAUGCUGACACUGAUGCGCGACAGCGUGGGGAGCAAACAGG